UUCGCUCCUAAACACAUAUGAAGGUACAGCAAUAUUGAUAUUAUCGGCAAAUCAAAACUCACUCCAAGAGUUUGAACCUUGCAAUUUAUGGCAAAGUUUAUCCAAGAGUAUAUGGAAUAUGCGUCUUGAUGCACGGAAAGAGAAUAUUUCACAUGGGAUAAAUCACGACAAGAUAAUGCCCAAUCCAUGUAUUGUAAGAAACGCCUUCUAUCGGGUAAUCUCAACUCAUCGAACACAAGAUUGGGAAGGGAUGCCCACAAGGACCUCCACCUACUCGUCAAGACACUUGUUCUGAUGAGUUCUUUUAAUGGAAGGAAGCCAAGUAUGUGAUGGAGUAAGGAAUCAGGGAGAUCACACAAUCUUUCACAUCUACCAACACAAAACUCUCCUUUAGAGUUAUCGGGCCCAGCUAUCACAAGAGCUCGUCUUUUAUCCAUGGCUCUAGCUAGUACUCAGGAGUCAAAGCUGACAGAAGGAAACUAAAUAAACAUUAGACAACUCAAGGUAGACUAAACAAGCUAACACAAUUUCCCAAAAAGUUCAAAUCAUGCAGAUUCAAAGCUCCUAUCCAAUAGAGGAUUUCAAUGUGAACAAAUUCCAUGCAUGACAAACUAAAACAAGUGCUCUCUUGAGCAGAAACCACGGAUGAUGACAUAGGAGCUGAAUGCUUUCCAAAAGGUCUACCACAGAAGCUCCUGGCCUCUGUUUUGAGUAGAUUAUGUGAAGCCUCCGCAAAACUUAGGCAGCAGGUAUGAUCGUCACGGCUAAAAGUUGGUCACCAAGUUCAGGUGGCAAAACUAAUAGCUUGUUUUCUCUUACAUGUUCUGAAUGGUAAAAUUCAUUACAAAGAACUUAAGGUGAUCUUUUGGCUCAUCAUUAGUCAUUUUGGUUGUUCACUGUAAGCAGUAGAAUUGCGACAAUACAUGGAACUCGUAGCGUCGUUGUUAGAGCACAACAAGCUUGUUCAUGGCCUCUUCUUGAUUUCAGGAUAGUUUAUUUGCAAAUUCAUGCACUUGACUACUUCAUGCUUUUGUUUCCUUCUCUUGAUAUGAGAACAACUCGUAUUUCUUUGUGUGUGACAUUGCAACUUGAAUUAAUUUAAUGUGGCCCUUCAUUUUAAGUGCAGGGCUAUGGCUGAACUAUGAGUUCUUAGACUAUUGGGGAAUCCUCGAGUUCCUUCCUGAAAUUUUACCACUAAACAAUCUUCACCAUUUGUCUUUGGCAAAUAUUAGGAUCAUGGCAGAUGAAAACCUAAGAUCAGUGAAUUGUAUGCUCUUGAUGUACACACUUAUCUUUGUGAUGUGAGAAGAAAUAGAUAUGUCCCGUUCGAUUGGAGUCCUUUCAUCGGAGAUUGGAGAAGGAACAUCAGGUGUCGCACUGAUCGGCUUUGCAGCCUAGUUCGGAAUAUGUGAAGGAUAUCGUUCUGGCACAUAAAUAAAGGGAGGGAAGAAAGGGCCGGCCUUUAUAUGCGAGUAGAAUUUUUCAGUUCUACUUGCAAACUAUUCUUUAUGUGAAGAUAUGAACAUUUUUUCUUGAUGGAUAGCGAGGCCCUAUGUGGAAAGGGGACAGUUGACAGAAUCUGAUUGUGAUGGCUGCUGACGAGACUAAAAAGCCUUCAAGACAACUCUGGAAGCUUGUGAAGAAACAGUACCGAACUUCAUGGAAGAUCCCAAUUUGUCACGAUGUCAAUGCAUCACCGAUUUCUUCGUGAUUUGAGAGCAUAAGGACGGAGAGUGUGCAUGUGCUUUUGGGAUUCCAUUGCUUUGUCAUCGCUAGAGCUUAUUAGUAUGGUAUGGAAUACUCUCAGGGCAGGCAAUUUUGCAGCAUCAAUGAGGAGACAACCAUAGUUGGAGGAGCAAUGAGCUUGAGCAUGUUAUUUCGGCUGAAAUUAAAAAGGAAAAAAAAAUUGCUUAGAAGUGAAGGAACUGAUGUGAUCAUAAGAUUGAGAUAAUGCGGAAAAGUUAUUGUAAGGGAAAAUGACAUAGAUGAUCUUUAAUCUUUGGUUUAGUAGGCGACGUGGUUUCUGAAUUUUUAAUUUGCUUGAUGUAGUCUCUGAACUUUGGUCCAAUGUGCACUAUCAUCCCUAAAUAUUAAAUUUCUUUAAUGUGACUCCUGAACUAUUAGUAAAA